AAGCGAAAUUUUACAAUACAAAAGAUGUUAGCGUUGGACUGGGAAAGGAUUCUAAAGGUCCAUUAAUCAGCCCACUAGAAGGCUAUGCUGACAUCUGCGCCUGCUUGAGAUCAUCUUCCCGCAGAUUGGAGAGACAACGGCCGAGAGCGGCGAUGUGGCGGUUGUGGCGUUCUUGAAGCUGGGCCAUGAGUGCCACGCUGAUCUCACGCUCCAAAUCAUGGCUGUUGUCUCGUCCUAGUCCUCCUCCUCCUUUGGUUGCCUGCCCUGCCCUUAUCAUUGUUCAUCGCAUCCACUUCCAGUUCAACGACUAACUCCUUGGAAUUCUCCUCCUCGUCCUCUACUCCUCUCACUCUCUCUCUUCUGAAAGAACGGUAUGAUCUUUUCUGUCGCAUUGCGCCGCAUUGCUGAUUUACUUAGCACCUGUUCUCUGUCGCGGAGCCAAUUUUACUUUAUAUUCCUCCAGAGGCAUUGAUGUAGAGUAGGCCAGUGGAAGGCAACGAUGAGGUUUCUUGAUACAGGAGCUGUGGUGGGAGCUUCCUUUGCUUCUUUACUUUGUACUUGUGAUUUUGUUAAUUUAAUUCAUGUAAUUAGUUCUGAUCUGCACUUCACUGAAAACCUGUGGUUGAAAAAAAAAAAUCGCCUUCGGUAUGCGAAUCCAUAAUCUAAAUGCAUAAAUCUUCCUCUUGUAUUCUGUUACAAUGUCUGUUGAGAAGUUUGGAGAAACUUUCUGUCCAAUUGGCGUUUUCUUUCCUUGCUCAGUUCAAAUUAAUCAGAGAAGAGAUCACGUCUGUGAUCGAUUGUAUGCUUUCUAAAUGUUAAAUCUUUUUUUAUAUAGUUUGAUUGAUGUUCUCCUUAAUUUCCUUCUACCUCUUAGACGUUCCUCUUUUUAAUUCAAUUAUCAUUUCGGAGUCACGCAAGUACCCUCAAAUAUUAAUAAUUUUUAUUUUAAUUUCUAAUAUCCAUAUAUCCAUUGUAGUAUUCUCACCUCUGCCAUAUAAAAACUCGAUUAAUCAAAUUGCCACCAGAAACUUAUUUUGAUAGUAUUUUCUGCUGCAGUUGUUUUAGUAAGCCUAUGCAUCCUCUAUUUUUAUAACUUGAACCUUAGAGCUUUUUCUGAUAGUAUCUUUGAUAUGAGUGGUUCAUUCUUUGAUUCUGCAACUAAAAUUCUUUUCUUGUAUAACAUGGGAGUUUCAUGUUAUUCUCUGCCACUUGAGCUCCAGGAAUAUCCUGGUGAUAUAUUAUACCAUUAUCAUGCAAUUGGGCGUUUCCUCUAAUUCAGGUCAGGAGUUGCUCCUGCAGCAACUAAAACCUACAGUUGAUGUGCUUCGGAUAGGAGAGUAUUUAGGAAAGCAUUUACUGGAAAAUUUGGAUCAGUAUCUUGGAAUUUCUGGACCUAGAUUUAUGGGGUCAGCAACUGCACAUAGAUAUCUUUGGAAGUAGGCCCCAGCUGCUGCCUCUCAUGCUGAUUUCUGUAUAUUGUGCUGCUAGGUUGAUAAGUGCUGUGGACUUUUAAUUAUAGUCUAUAUAGCAUGCUUCCCUUCUUGUAGAGAGAAUUGUAAUAUGGCCUUUAUAUUUUCCUUCCUUUUGUUGAACAUUCAAUUAUAAACUGACUCUAGGCUUAGAUUUUGUUAGAUAAUUAUAAAAAUCCUAACUGAACCUUCAAAGAAGUGGAGACACACACCAAUAGCAGGCCUUCCAAUUAAUUUAUUCUGAAGGGAAAUUUGGUAAUCAAUAUCAAUAACUUUGAUGAUUAGAUAAAGGUAAAACAGUCAUCUGCAACCUAAGAAACAAGGAUAGUUUCUCUAAGCAAAGAAAGUUAAAUAGGAGGAAAAAAAAACAAAGUAUUCUUUGAUGUUUGACAUAUUUUUAUCCACUAUAGUUGAUUCAACCUUAGUUCACUUCAUAGACUUGUAAUUUCAAUAUAAUUACAUAUCAACUUCAACUGUGUGGCACUAGUAAGCUCACUCAACAUAGUAAAGUCUUUCUUCUCUCUUUUUAUCCCUAAUUGCUUACUGAUUAAUGAUCACUUUGUGGGAAGGAGGAGACCACUGAUUUGACAUAUAAUUUGUGGUUAUUUUGAUGCUUAAAUUUCUGCAUAAUCCAAAUGGUUUAGGUGAGUGUGGGGUCAUCCAAUUAUCUCUAAUUAUCUAAUGCACCAAAAUGUUAAAAGUUCCAAUAACUGGAUAUGAGUAUCAUAGGUUAGGCACCCAAAUAAUGCCAUUAUUCAUGAAAAUCUUUGGCACCAAAAGAAAAUUUGCCUAACACUGGAAUUUCUAUCCUGUCAUAUGAAAUGAUUGUUUUUUUUUAAAUGUAUUAUUUUAAAAAUAGAUUUAUGAAGGUUUUUCUUAAUAGUGUGAUAUGAUGACUUUAUUUCAAGAGUCAACUGCAGCAAUAACUUCCACUCUGCUGCUGAUCAAAUGCUUAAACUAUAAAGUACCUGUUAUUCCUCAGUAUUGCACUUAGACCCUGUCCUUUCACUAAGCUUGAGACAACCUCAGUAUGUAGUGGCUUGAGACGAACAAUAAAUUAAUGAAUUAACAAAUAGUUUGAUUCAGUGCAUGCUGUUGCAUCAGAAGAUAACAAUUGUUUGCUUUUGUUUGCAGACAGAGAGCAUGCCUUGCUUCCUCCCUUUGUUCUCGUAUUCUUUUCCUCUGCAGAAAAAGUUUUCCUAGAAGGAACCACAAUAAGAAUGACAACAAAUAAUAUCCACUAGAGAACAGAUCAUCAUUACAGUAUAUGGAGGAGAGCAAUUACCUAAAUCGACCCUGCUAAUGAAGUAAAUAUCAGACCCCUCAUAGCUCAUUCAUUUGAUCAUACUGUUGCAUGAUCAAGUUUUCCUGUGAAAGAAGCCUUGUUGGAGCAAUCUAGUAGCAAAUUAGAGGGGAGACAUGAAUGACAAUGUGGAAUCAUGCUUUUGGUGAAAAAAGAGCAUUCUUGUAUCAUUUUUGUGCCCCACUAACUAACAUUUGCCAUGACAGAAAAGAAAGGCUGGUUCCUUCUGCAGUGGACUCAUGAUGGCAUCCAGUGGUUUAACUUGAACCAAGUAGAUAUGUCCUCAAGCCAAGGAUUUGAUGAGGAUGCAGCAGCUCAAACAUCUCAUCGGGAGAAUAUUUUAGUUGCAGUCUCUGAUCACAAAACCAAUGUGAAGAUGGAACAUCCCCAAAAGAACAUUAUUCAUUUUCCAAGGAAGACUCUAAGCUUUUGCCAUAUCUUUCCUUAACAGAAGUGAUGACAGAGAUGACUGUUUGGUUCAAAUACCCAUUAAGUGAGCAUGGAACUUAGAUUUGAUGAAUGUUAUGAGUUUUGGGGGGCAUGUAUAUCUUAUUCUUGGAGGUUCAUAUUGUAUUGUUUUUAUAUAUUCUUGAAGGCAGUAAAUUCACAUUUGAUCAGAUA